rnacentral:rRNA from 1 species
CACGUAGUUAGCCGUGGCUUUCUAUUCCGGUACCGUCAAUUCCUCUAACUAUUCGCAAGAGGACCUUUCGUCCCGAUUAACAGAGCUUUACAACCCGAAGGCCGUCAUCACUCACGCGGCGUUGCUCCGUCAGACUUUCGUCCAUUGCGGAAGAUUCCCCACUGCUGCCUCCCGUAGGAGUCUGGGCCGUGUCUCAGUCCCAAUGUGGCCGUUCAUCCUCUCAGACCGGCUACUGAUCAUUGCCUUGGUGGGCCGUUACCCCUCCAACUAGCUAAUCAGACGCAAUCCCCUCCUUCAGUGAUAGCUUAUAAAUAGAGGCCACCUUUCAUCCAUCCUCGAUGCCGAGGUUGGAUCGUAUGCGGUAUUAGCAGUCGUUUCCAACUGUUGUCCCCCUCUGAAGGGCAGGUUGAUUACGCGUUACUCACCCGUUCGCCACUAAGAUUGAUAGAAGCAAGCUUCCAUCGCUCUUCGUUCGACUUGCAUGUGUUAAGCACGCCGCC